rnacentral:rRNA from 1 species
CCUACGGGCGGCAGCAGUGGGGAAUAUUGCACAAUGGGGGAAACCCUGAUGCAGCAACGCCGCGUGAGUGAAGAAGUAUUUCGGUAUGUAAAGCUCUUUCAUCAGGGAAGAAAAUGACGGUACCUGCUCAAGAAUCACCGGCUAACUACGUGCAAGCAGCCGCGGUAAUACGUAGGGGGCAAGCGUUAUCCGGAUGUACUGUGUGUAAAGGGAGCGUAGACGGCAAAGCAAGUCUGGAGUGAAAGCACGUGGCUCAACCACGGGACUGCUUUGGAAACUGUGUUGCUGGAGUGCAGGAGGGGUAAGCGGAAUUCCGAGUGUAGCGGUGAAAUGCGUAGAUAUUAGGAGGAACACCAGUGGCGAAGGCGGCUUACUGGACUGUAACUGACGUUGAGGCUCGAAGGCGUGGGGAGCAAACAGGAUUAGAUACCCGAGUAGUC